ensembl:lncRNA
AUGCACACACACACACACGCAGAUACACACACGCAGAUACACACAGAUACACGCACACACACACAGAUACACACACAGAUGCACACACACACGCAGAUACACACACAGAUACACGCACACACACAGAUACACGCACACACACACAGAUGCACACACACAGAUACACUCACACACACAGAUACACGCACACAGAUACACACACAGAUACACACACACGCAGAUACACACACGCAGAUACACACACAGAUACACGCACACAGAUACACACACAGAUACACACAGAUGCACACACACACAGAUACACACAGAUACACACACAGAUGCACACACACACAGAUACACACACACAGAUACACACACAGAUACACAGAUGCACACACACAGAUACACACAGAUACACAGAUACAGAUACAGAUACACACACAGAUGCACACACACAGAUACACAGAUACACACACAGAUGCACACACAUACGCAGAUACACACACACGCAGAUACACACAGAUACACAUACAUACACACAGAUACACACAGAUACACACAGAGAUGCACACACUCGCAGAUGCACACACACACGCAGAUACACACACAGAUACACACGCAGAUACACACACAGAUACACACACAGAUGCACACACACGCAGAUACACACACAGAUACACACAGAUACACACACAUGCACACACACAUACAGAUACACACACAGAUACACACAGAUAUACAUACACAGAUGCACACACAGAUACACACACAGAUACACACACACACAGAUACACACAGAUACACACAGGUACACACACAGAUACAUGCACACACACAGAUACACACACACGCAGAUACACACACAGAUACACACAGAUACACACACAGAUACACACAUACACAGAUACACACACAUGCAGAUACACACGCACAGAUACACAGAUACACAGAUACACACACAUACACAGAUACACACACAGAUACACACAGAUACACACACAGAUACACGCACAUGCAUACACAGACACAAACACACAGACACACAUAGAGACCUGCACAGAUACAGUCACACAGACACGCACACACACAGAUACACACACACACAGAUACAUACACGCACACACAGAUACACACACAGAUACACACACAGAUACAUGCACACACACAGACACAAAUACACAGACACACACAGACACACAUACAGACCUGCACAGAUACAGUCACACAGACACACACACACACACAGAUACAUGCACAUACAUACACAGACACAAACACACAGACACACAUACAGACCUGCACAGAUACAGUCACAUAGACACACAGACAUACACAGACACACGCACAUGUACACACAGACACACAGAUACAUGCAGACACAGACACACAUAUACAGACAGGCAUAGAUAUAGUCACAGACAGACACACAUGCAGACCCCACACAGACAUAUACAUAGACACAGACAUACAUGCGCACACAGAGACACACGCAGACAUGCACAGGCACAGACACGCACACAGAUGCACAGACGUGCACAGACACACACAGACAUGCACACAGUCAUACACACACACAUAGACACAGUCACACACACAGAUACAUGCACAUACAUACACAGACACACAGACAGACACAGACACACAUACAGACCUGCAUAG